GAUGGGGCAGGUGCUUGGGUCGAGGAUGGGGUCCAGGAGUCCAGGUUCUGGAUGGCACUUACCUCAAGCAGCUCCCAGAAGUAGCAGCAUGUCCCCCCUCCAGCUCCUAUGUGGAGGCACAUCCAGGUGGCUUUGCAUGUUGCCCUGUUCACAGAUGCUGCCCCUGCAGCUCCCAUUGGCCGCAGUUCCUGGCCAAUGGGAGCUGCGGGGGCAGCGUGUGGAGCCCCCUGGCUGCCCCUACGUGUAGGAGCCGGAAUGGGGGCAUCCUGCUGCUUCUGGGAGCUGCGUGGAGCGAGUCAAAUCCCUGACCCUGCUCCCCGGCUGGAGCAGGGCAAGCCCUGGACCCUGCUCCCCGGCGGGAGCUCAAGAGCUGGGUUAAAACAUCUGGAGGGCUGGAUGCGGCGCCCGGGCUAUAGUUUGCCCAUCCCUGCCCUAGUCCCUUAUGAUCUCCACUGCUUCUGCCAGGUGCUGGGAUACUGGAGGGACUCUUUAAAAAAAAAAGGGUAAGUGAAUCUGCACCAGUUGAACUUGGUGGUGCUCAGUAAAAGUGACUUUCGUUAGAAAAUUAUAUUGCAGACAAAAUGGCCAGCUACAGUUCUGUACAGUCCCAGAGCCCUAAACUCCCAUUGACUUGAAUGGGAGGUGAGGGCAUUCAGCAGCAUCCGGCAGGAUUUGGGCUCCAUAAUUCAGUGAUUUGUAAGUGUGCAUGACUGUGAAUUUUCUUCCAGGGCAAGGAGAGGGGAGAAAUGUUUACAUGUAAGGUUUAAAAUUUUACAGGCUUCCAGUUAUCUACAGGGCUCAGCCCAGGAAAGCAUAUGUUGGUCAUGUGUGCUACAAUAGGCAGAACCGGGCAUAUAUAUUUUAUAGGUUGUGGAAUCAAGACAUAAUUCAACUAAAACUGAGCCCUCAGAUUAUAUCUGAUAUUCUAAUCCAGCCACACACUGAGAAAAAGAGUAGUCAGUUUUAGAAUCUGAGAUCUGAUAUUUUAUUCAUCUCAUGGAGAUGGAGCAAUGUGGGUUCAGACUUCAGUGAAUACAUUUAUGAAAUGAACACCUUUAAUGUCCUUUACAUUAUAGUUUCUCAGUGUUGAAUAUUUAAAUCUGAGCGGUUUGUUUUAAAAAAAAUAGUUUAAGUAGAAGCUGAUUCUAUGCUCAGUUCCUAUUCUCAUGAAAAACUGUAACAAAUAGCCCAAGUGAGAACUUUUUUUCCAUAUAGUCUGAUUUAUCAACCAGAACAGGAUAAACAUUAGCCUACUGCUGAUGUGACAAAUGUGACAGCUGGAGGGGUCUGGAAUGAAUACAGAAACCUUAAAUAAGCUUUUCAAUUGAGCUCAUUAUGAGGACAUUUGUUAAACACACAGCCUCUUCUUUUGCUGUGCCAAGCAGCUCUUAGCAUAUACACAUUGGAAACCUAUAUUUAUAGCACAAGGGCUCCAUGUUGCAUGCUAAUUCCUGGUUCACCAUUAGCCGAUUGUUUCUAAGUUAAAUAUUGAUGAGAAGUAUAGACCGUGAUCUGACUAUUUAUCAUGGUUUUGAAUAAUCCUCUCUCCUGAGUUCGUAUAUUUACUUCAAUAGACGUUAGUGCAUUAAUAUACACUUUUCUGAAUGUUAUUGUAUGCAGAAUCAAUAACUGCUUUUGAUGGUCAAUCUUUUUAUAACUGGUGUGAUUUUAUCCCGUGGAGGCAGGCGACAAAGUGCAGAACAUUCCAUCAGCCUUCUUGUGCAGGAAUCUAUAUCAACAGAACUUAAGCAAAGUCUUCCUGGAUUCCCUGCCAGAUGUCAGCUGUCAAAUCUUUUAGUGUAAGGAAAUUUUACAGCAUCUCUACUGUAGAUGGCCCAGAUCCUGCCAACAGAGUCUGCACAUCCACGGCGUCCUGUUGAAUUCAGUGGCCCUCCUCGUGGGUAGUAUAAAGGUAAUUACAGACUUUGGUUGCAGGAGGGAGGGAUCUGUUAUCUGAGUUAAAGUGGUAAUCUCCAGAAACGUACCCACAGCAACUGUAAGAUAUCAACUUGAAAAAUAGUAAAACAGGAGAAUUAAGAGCCAGCUCCUGGACUGCAGCUGAGCGCUAAUCCCUAGCAUUAUAGUGCUGCUUCAAAAAUGCUAUUACAGUAGACACUUGUUUGCAUCAACACUUUAUAAGAGCAACUGCCGCUUAUGAGCAGCAUUUCCCCGGGACCACGUUCUCUCCUGUGAAUGGUCAAUACUCCCCAUAACAGCCAGAGCUGCGUAGGAGCAACGUAGCAAAAGGGCGCCUGAUAUGUUGCUACUAAUGAGCAACUACUGUAUUCUGAUCUGAUACCAUUGUUACAUUCACCUUGCUCUGGUGUAAACUACACAGGAGCAGGAUCAACAAUACAUCAGGCCUGGAAGGCUCAGUUGUUCUGCACACUGAGGUGAGUGGGUAGCUUCUCCAUUUCUCAAAACAGCGACUGGGGGUCGGGUCUCAUUUACAAUCCAAUAUCAGUUUAGUGUGCUAAUCCUGUAUGUACUUAAGGGUUGUUUCUCAGUAAUUUCUCUUCUUGUUUCCAGCCAAGUUAAGUUUUGCUUUUCUACUUCAGUGUAUUGAUUUAUUUCCCAUCACUCAUAUUAAUCUCUGUACAUGGAGUAAUAAUAAACAAACUGGGACAGGAAGGAAUUGAGUCAAGCUUGACUGCCUUUAAGUCGUGCUGCUUGGCAUUGUAAGAGGGAUCAGGCCUUCAGCCCUGGAAAAUGUAUACACUUUGGCCCUGAUCCUACAAGGAGACAUUCAGGCAGACUCCUGCACCUGCACAGCCCCACUGACUGCAAGGGAAGGGAGCUGGAGUUCAUGGGGGCUCAACAGAGGCACAGGGGGUUCACCUAUGAACCUCUCCUUGCUAGACUGGGGACUUAAAAUGGUGGCAGUAACUGUUUUUACUUUUUAUUGGAAAGCUCCACCAACUGCUAUUGUGUAAGGUGGUUUGCUGGCAAGCAGGAGCGGUCACUACUAUGAAGCGGACAUACCCAUGCAUAUGCAACCCACACACCUCGUCGGUGCGGUGCUCUGUCCCAGCUUGUGGCACCAAGACCACUUCGAGAUGAAUGAGUCUGUCCGACAGCCUUAGCUAAGGGCCACGUGGCCACAUGCAGGAGAGGCUUAUGCAUUUAGCUCCAUAGGUCCCAGGUUCGAUCUGCCUGCCGACAACCAGUCUGUCAGCAUUACAAGAAGGGGCCUGUCCGGGAUUUCAACGGGGAAGUCUCUGAAGCUCAGGAUGCGCUUCCUCAGCUAGGGGAAGUAUGUAACCCACACACCUGGGGGGUGUGGUGUUCUUUCCCAUCUAAGCGGCACCGAGACCACUUAGAGUUAAAUGAGUCUGCUCUACAGCCUUAGCUAAGGGCCAUAUGGCUUCUAGCUCAUGCACGAAGCUUCAGAGGUCCCGGGUUCAAUCCCACCCACCGAUAACCAGAGUCUGUCAGCAUUACACAUACACACACUAUAUGACUCAGUAUUCAUUACCAGUAAUAAAUUCUUCUAAAUGGGAGAAAAUGCUCUGAUUUUGCAAAGAUUAAUAAAAAGGCAUAUACAGUAUUCAUCAGCUAGAACAUUUCCACCAUGAUGACACACACACUUCUAUGGAUCCUGCAUUAAUUUACAGAAGUAACGACACUGUUACUGUUCUGCAAUGGUUACUAAAAGGAGUCUAAGUUUAUAUACUACUGUUCUUGUUACCAAAAAGACAGCAAAGCACUUGGCAGAAUGUCUGCUUUGCACAGAGAUACUAUUCAACUGUUAGUUUAAAAGAAGGCAUUGUUCUUAAUGCAGCAUUCUUUACAGCACUGAAAAUCCAAAAGUCCUUUGACUAACUUUUUGAAAGAGAAGAGGACACGGAAUUAAAAGAUUAAGACACAGUCCUUUGCAAGCAAGCUGUCAUAAAUACAAAGAGAAGGGUAAACACCUUUAAAAUCCCUCCUGGCCAGAGGAAAAACCCUUUCACCUGUAAAGGGUUAAGAAGCUAGGAUAACCUUGCUGGCACCUGACCAAAAUGACCAACGAGGAGACAAGAUAUUUUCAAAGCUGGAGGGGGGAGAAACAAAGGCUCUCUAUGUCUGUGUGAUGCUUUUGCCGGGAACAGAACAGGAAUGGAGUCUUAGAACUUAAUGGGGAAACAGACCGUUGCUGUCCUCUAUACAGCCAUGACGUAUAGGAGAGCCACCCACCAUCAUAACCCUCAAGCUCUGUGAUCCUCUCUCUCUCAGAGGAGUGCUGCGCUUUACUAUGGGUAGUGUACAAACCGCCUGAGCCAACCCAUUCUGUGCAGAGCAAAAGAAUUGUGCAAACAUUGCACUUUCCUCUGAGGUGAUCGAUGGCACAACUCCUAUUGACUUCAGUGGAAGCAGGAUCAAGCCACAAAUAAGGACAAUGAAGACAAUUAACACUAAUGGAAUCUCUGUGCCCAGAAGGUUUGCAGGACUGGCCUCUUGAUCUCCUCUCCUUCAAUCAAAUUGAUCGGAAGAAAGACUAACAAAAAGCAAUGAAAAGGCAGAGGGAGACAUACCUAAACCCCUGGGAUAAGGGUGACAGGAUUAAGGAAACUCCACUAGCGUCAUUUGCAUCGAAGAUGGGACAAGGAGGCAUCUCCAUUAGCAUACAGAAUGGAGAACAGAGAUUCCAAGGCAAGAACUGCAUGGAACUCUAGGACCAGAAUAGCAGGGAAGCACCGCAUGAUGGGGGAUCUCCGCUCCAGAUGUUAAUGAACCCAUGCCUGCACACACCCAGCUCAGUAGUUAUCAGUCCAAUUCUAGUAAUAAAUCCUUUAUUGGUAUCCAAAAUAGUGAAGCUCCCUAAUUGCAUUGUGAGCUCCCUCCAAGGAACACCAUCCAUAGCCAGGAAUGAUCAGCUCCCAUUGUCUAGCCUGAACAAAACAACUUUGUUAUACUCCCUUGAGCCAUCAGCUUACACAUACACAAAUCCAGUGUUUUCCCUUGAACCAUUGGUGUUUCUCUACAAAGACCCCUACCCAUGCUUCAAGUAAGUGUUCUGAUGCCUGGAUCCAAAUCUGCAUCAGUUCCAUUGGAUUUCAUCCUCUCCUGACUGAUCGUGCUGGGAGCUCUGCCUGUCUCCAGCACUCCAGACCCUCAACUACCAUCACUACCUGGGACCCUCGAUAGAUUCAAGCUUCACAGAGUGGUGAGAACCCAGCUCUCUCUCUCUCUAGGAAUGUACCUGUUGGUCAACCGGGAGAGCUGCUACCUCAUUCCCCUGGACACCAAAAUUAGGAUUUAACCUAUACACUUUAAUAGACAUAGUUUGAGGGUAAUUACCUGUGUGUCAGCAAUAUGUUAAUUUGAGCCAUGGGCGGAGCCAUUAUGUAAUCUUUUAGACCAUUGGCUUAUUGUGCUUAUCUUGUCUUGCUGCUAGAACCUAUCCAGGGGCUUGGGAAAACCCAUCGCUGUUGCUUCUCUCCACCCAAUAAGCACCCUAUAUACUCUAUUGUAAUCAAUUGUUCCGCAGUGUCUCUGAGCCUAAUAAGCAAAGUGACACUCCGCCAGCGCUGUGCGUAAUAAA